rnacentral:rRNA from 1 species
UACGUAGGGGGCGAGCGUUGUCCGGAGUUACUGGGCGUAAAGAGCUCGUAGGCGGUGUGUCACGUCGGCCGUGAAAACCUGGGGCUUAACUCUGGGCGUGCGGUCGAUACGGGCAUCACUAGAGUUCGGCAGGGGAGACUGGAAUUCCUGGUGUAGCGGUGAAAUGCGCAGAUAUCAGGAGGAACACCGGUGGCGAAGGCGGGUCUCUGGGCCGAUACUGACGCUGAGGAGCGAAAGCAUGGGUAGCGAACAGG